CUUAAGGAAUUGACGGGGACCCGCACAAGCAGCGGAGCGUGCGGUUUAAUUCGUUGCUACACGAAGAACCUUACCUGGGUUUGACAUAUAGGUUGUAGGGAACUGAAAAGGGACCGACCCUUCGGGGAGCCUAUACAGGUGUUGCAUGGCUGUCGUCAGCUCGUGUCGUGAGAUGUUCGGUUAAGUCCGCUAACGAGCGCAACCCUCGUCGUAUGUUAUAUGUGUCAUACGAGACUGCCGGUAAAAGCCGGAGGAAGGUGAGGAUGAUGUCAAGUCAGCAUGACCUUUAUAUCCAGGGCUACACACACGCUACAAUGGUCUGUACAAUGGGUAGCCAAGCCGCGAGGCGGAGCCAAUCCUGAAAGCAGGCCUCAGUUCAGAUUGCAGUCUGCAACUCGACUGCAUGAAGCCGGAGUUGCUAGUAACCGCAGGUCAGCAAUACUGCGGUGAAUACGUUCCCGGGUCUU
rnacentral:rRNA from 1 species